CCUACGGGAGGCAGCAGUGGGGAAUUUUGGACAAUGGGCGCAAGCCUGAUCCAGCAAUGCCGCGUGAGUGAAGAAGGCCUUCGGGUUGUAAAGCUCUUUUGUCAGGGAAGAAACGGCUGAGGCUAAUAUCCUCGGCUAAUGACGGUACCUGAAGAAUAAGCACCGGCUAACUACGUGCCAGCAGCCGCGGUAAUACGUAGGGUGCAAGCGUUAAUCGGAAUUACUGGGCGUAAAGCGUGCGCAGGCGGUUUUGUAAGUCUGUCGUGAAAGCCCCGGGCUUAACCUGGGAAUUGCGAUGGAGACUGCAAGGCUUGAAUCUGGCAGAGGGGGGUAGAAUUCCACGUGUAGCAGUGAAAUGCGUAGAGAUGUGGAGGAACACCGAUGGCGAAGGCAGCCCCCUGGGUCAAGAUUGACGCUCAUGCACGAAAGCGUGGGGAGCAAACAGGAUUAGAUACCCUGGUAGUCCACGCCCUAAACGAUGUCUACUAGUUGUCGGGUCUUAAUUGACUUGGUAACGCAGCUAACGCGUGAAGUAGACCGCCUGGGGAGUCGGUCGCAAGAUUAAAACUCAAAAGUGUAAGUUACGACGNGAGAGAGACGACGACGACGACGACGGAGGGAGGAGG
rnacentral:rRNA from 1 species